rnacentral:lncRNA from 1 species
GCGACUCGACAAGGCACCGAAAAAGCUGAGGGCUUGAAAUUGUCGCAAGUCUCGCGUUUUAAACAUUUAUCCUGACGUUCUCCCCCAAAAUCCCACCUUCCAUCUCUCUUUCCCGUUCUUUACUGCUUCAUCUUCUAGCCACCUCUCUUCAUCGACGCCCAUCUUCACUGACACCACUUUCGCCGCCGUUCGUGUUCGCCGCCGCCGCCCCCACCCAGUUAAUGGCAGCUCCGACGAUGACAAUGUGUGAUUAGCUGUCUUCCCUGUACAGGUAUUGUUAUGGAAACUCCUUUUUAUCACCGACCAUCUUCGUCUACUGAUUCUACAAUUUAUAUUGCUUGUUUGUUCUGAGUUGCAAUUUGAUUUUUGGAUUUUUUUUUUCUUAAGACAAUUCUUGCGAAGUGAAUGUUGACCAGGUUUAAAUAGAUCGAUAUUUAUUUUCUAUGAAAACCCUGAUAUAAUAUCUCCUGAAAACGAAUUCAAUUAUUUGAAGAACGCAGUGCAAUUAGCUUCUGUGUUUUUCACAUGAAGGAACCUAUUUUAACUUCGUUAUUGUUCUAAGAGUUUGCCAUUUUGUGCAAAUCGGAAAGCAACUACCAAAUAGUGAUAAUGCAUUCAUACUAAUGGAUAAUGAUUUUCUUCCAUCUUGAGCUCUAUCUUAUGUUAGUUGGGGAAAAUUGAUGUGAAUAAUUUGUUAAGUGCUGUGAAAUUAAGGAGAGAGAGGCCUCUUUGUUUAAUGACAGAAUAUAAGGAAGCUGUUUGGAGUAGUUAUAUGUCAAUUACUAAACAGGACACCUCUAUUUUGAAUAGGCUUGUUGAUGUUGGAGUGUCUCCAAGGGUAGAAGAGUCAAAAAUUUUAGCCCCUUUUGGACCAUAUUUUAGGGUUAAUACACCUUCGAUUGGAAUUGGAUCAUCUCCUUUUUUUGAUCCUUAAAUGAAGGUAAGUGUGUUUGUUUUGGUUUACUCUUUAGAUUUAUUUUUAAAUUGGUAUUCAUUUUUCUUGGAAGAUGUUGAUUAAAAUCUACCUCUUUGUUUUUAUAAGCAUUGUAACAUAUUGGCGAGGUGAGAUUCAUUGUGGUCCUUAUAAGGGUAUUUUAGGUAUAUUAUAUGAUUAUUAAUCAUGUGUCAAGUGUCUAAGGGUUUGCAUUUUUUUUGGGAUUUAUGGAAUUAUCAAUAAUGAAGUAUAAUUAAGAAAAUGCAACUUAUUUAGAGUGUUUAUGAAGUCUAAUAGAGACAGGAAUUAGGAUCCCAUGGGAACUUAUAUUUAUUUUUAAUUUAUGGAUAAAAUUAUUGCUAUACUUUUAAUGCUUUAAUCUAAGGGAAAUUGACUUAUUAAGUUAAUUAACUUUUCGGUUUGUUCACAUCUAGGGAACUAUUUUUUUCUGUAUAUAUCUAGGUAACAAACUUUUUGAAAGUGUUUACAUAUGACUAGAAGUAGCAAAAAUUGAUACGACAUGAAACCCAACACGAAAUAAACGAGUUUGGGUAAGAUAUUUCAACCCGUUUAAAUAAACGGGUUGACACGACACGACACGAAAAUUAAAUGGGAAAAGUUAGGGUUGAGAAUUUCAACUCGAAAAUGACCCGUUUAUUUAUAUGCAAGUUUUUUGAAUUAUUUAAAUAAACUGAAAGACACAAAAUCAAAAGCAUAAGUAAAAGAAAACCUUCGAAUUGAAUUGUUUUGUAAUGUUGAAACGACUUAGCCGUCUAGAUCAAGAUUUCAUUUCAGUUUUUUCAUUCUCUCCCAAACUACCCAGUCUCUUUCGCCACUCUCACAUCCUCAUGAUCUUGUCGUCCGUCUUCCCAACUCUCACUCUUUUAAUUUUGUCAUCUAAACUUGCUAUGGUUUCAUCUAUUCUGCCUCAAAACAAUUAGUUUUUCAUUUCCGCCUACCAAACUCCUACUAUUUCAACAUGCUUAAUAUUUUUAACUUUACAAGACACGACAUAUUUCAAGGUAUAGCCCUAACCCGAAACCCGAAACCCGACACGAACUCGACACGAAAAUAAACUAGUUGACACGACACAACACGUUAAUUAAAUGGGUUGGGUUAGGGUCAAGCACUUUCAACCCAUUUAGUGUUUCGACACGACACGAUACGAACCCGACACGACACGACACGAUUGCCACCUCUACAUAUGACCAUUAUGACUAGAUGUAACCUGAUACAGCUGUUCAUAUUGGUCAUAUGUUAACACUUCAAAACGUUUGUUAUCUAGAUCUGUACAAAAAAAAAUAGAAACUGAAAAGUUAAUUACCUUAAUAAGUCAAUUUCCGUUAAUCUAAAGCAAAUAAUGUUAAUGUUAUGCUAGGAUUCUACAAGAUUUUUUUUUUCUUAUUUGCACAAAACUCUUAAUAAUGUAUUAUUUACCUUUGGUUAUAUAAUCUGUCACAAUUGUUAUAAAACCAUAAUAACCUUUUAUUAUUUUCUAUAUUAAUAAUACUGAUGAUUAUAAUGUGUUCUUUUUCUGUAGAAUUCUGAAAGCUCGGAAGCAACAUUGCAUAAAACUCAAAGGAGAUUUGUAGGUAGUUUUUAAUGUUCCUAGAAAAGACAUGCAACAUCUACUCCUUAUGAAUCCAGAAAGAGCCACUCUUUUACAACAACAAGCAUCAAUAAAUAAAUAAAAUAAAAUAAAAAUAAUCUUCGACUCAUGUAACGUGUACUAUGUAGUAGUGAUUGAGAUAUGCAUAUAUAACGAAUUUGUGUUCUAGAAUGAGAUGAUAAUGAUAUAUUCUUUAAACUGUGUUCGUAACAUUUUCAAUUUUCAAUUUUCAAUUUUAAAAUCUUGAUUUCAUG